CAAUCCACUGAAUGGAGGGAACAAGACUGUGAUUGGUGUUAUGGAAAAUAAAAUAUCCAUAAGCAUCAAAGUUAGAACAUUCGUGUUCUAAGACAUGGUUUACAUGAAACAUUUUUGUUUUCAUAGGGGUAUUAUUUUAUGAAAAUUGAGGGUUUCAAAGGCACUAAAUUCAAAACUACAUGUUCGAGUUUAGUUAUGAAUCUUCUAGUUCAUAAAAUGAGGUACAUGUAAGAACACAUAAUACACUAUACAACUAAGUGAAGUGGAUUUUGGUUGCUUCAGAAACUCAAGUGUGAGUGCUUACGAAAAGGAGUCAGUGGUUCAAAGAAAAGAAUUAAAAUAUUGAAUCGUUACUGUCCAAAAAUAGGCUUCAGGCCAAUAAUUUUGGAUGUCUUGUCAAAUUAGUGGAUUGCUGGUCACUUUAAUAAAUUCAAUAGAUCGAGACCAUUUGGGGUCGAUCGUAGAAGAAAAAUAAUAUAAAGAUUCAAGCUUAUGCACAUAAGUCAUGUUGGCUGCAAGCCAAUUAGAAGGCAACCCAAAAAAAUUUAGGCUCAAAUUUGUUGUGGGCAGCCCCAGCCUAAGCGGGGUUGCGAACCAAGUCAAAAGGGAAGCCCAAUUGGACUUGGUCCAUGAGCCGUUAUGGCGGCGACGAUAUCAAUCCAAAACUAAGGUCAAAAUCCUUA
rnacentral:lncRNA from 1 species